UUGAGUGACACAUGUCAGAACAAAACACCAGCUCCAUGAGCCCGUGAAUAAGAAAAGCAUUGGGCGGUGAUUUUUGAAAAAAUUCAAAUUCAAAAUCAUUAUGGUACACAGUGUGAGGGAGAGAGAAAGACAGAACGAUAGGAAGAGAGAGAAAGACAGAAUGUUACAGAGAAGAAAACAUGAGGGUGAAGAAAGGGGACAGAAGAAGGAAAAGAGGGUGGCGACGAAGGUGGCGGUGACAGAUAAGGAGACGAGAUUGAGAGAGAAUAGGAGACAGAAAUGUAUUCUACAAGUUCGACAACACCUAUCAGGUCCUAUCUCACAGAUCCAUUUUAACUCUUCAAUCUUCAAGUAUUUCGUGCAAUUGGAAGCUUUCAUCUUCGGGGUAUGGAGAGUGUUGGUUCAGAACAGAUAAGAGGAAAGAGAAGCCAGUGGAGGAUGAGAACAAGAUUAAGUGCAAAAUGAAGACUAUGAAUUGCAAGUUCUGGAGAAAAAUUAUGCUGCUGCAGAUACAUUUGGUUUAGACAGUUUUCAGGCUGUUGUUAUGGAACUUCAACGAAACCAUUUAAAUUUUCAUGCUAAAAAUAGAGUAGAGAAGACAAAAUGCUUAGUCCACAGGCCUUUUUUUUUUCCUGGAGGAUAUCAGCAGGUCAGGUUUCUCUUAUAUUAAAAAAAUUCCGUCUUCUAUUUAUGCCAAUGUUUCAUUUUAAUCCACUGUGAAGUGUUCUCACUAUAUUUUUGCAGAUAGUGGUGUCAAUUUCCUUGGUAGGUAUAUUUAUAGAUCUAAGAAUAUGAACAUAUUUUGCCAGGAAAUGGAAAAGAGAUUCAAGGCCUGUUUGCUGUUUCAUCUAAUUUUUUAUUUUUAAAGUUUUUAGAACUGGACUGCUAUAUCUAUAUAGUAGUAUUGCAAACUUGGAUGUAAUGAAAUACUUUAAAAGUUACAUAAUUCAACUAACUAUUUUGGUUUAUUUUUACUGCCAGUCGAGCUCUGAAAUCGCCAUGGUGGACUAUGGGCUGCAAAUAUUAGGUUCUGUUAAUAAUUCACAUGCUCAAAGAUGAGGGAGUGUAAGUAGAGGACGGAGUGUUCCAGCACCAAAAGCAGCCUGAGGCUUGGCAAGGAUUGUUAUGAUGUUCUUAGAGGAGAAUAAGAAUGUUGCUGAUUUGACAACUAAGAUUAAGAAUCGAAAUGUUACAUCUUUGCUUAGCUAUGAUUGCAAUGUUCAAAGGAGGUACAAAAAGCUCAAAGCUACAAGAAUGCACAUUUAUGUCAGAAAAAGCGGUCAAAUUAUCAGGCUGGCGUAGCAAAGAUGCUCGCCCUGGGAGAGGAACUGAGAAAUACCAAUUUAGUUUUUGUAUAGCUGUAAGGUUGGUGAUAUACAAUGAUACGAAUGGAUUGCCAACGAAGUCCAAGACUCCAAGUCCUUUGUUGUGUGUGUGAUUGUAGUAAUGUUUUGGCAAAAAAGAUACCGAAUAUAGUAGGCCGAUGCUGCUGUUAGAAGAGUGUCUAGCAAAGGAAAGAGAAGAUGGUGACAAGUGUAAGGUAGAGUGGUUCGGAAGAAGAGGAGAGGAAAGAGAGGCCAGUGGAGGGUGAGAACAAGAUCAAGCACAAAAUGAAGACUGCUUUACAGUUGGUUGCGUUGUAGAAAAACUUAUGCUGAUAAGUGAAUGUAUUUUACCAUUUUUGAACAAUACUGGAAUAUUCCUUUACUUUUGUUGGUUUUUUUUUCACAGUUUA